rnacentral:rRNA from 1 species
AUAUCAAUAAGCGGAGGAAAAGAAACCAACAGGGAUUGCCUUAGUAGCGGCGAGUGAAGCGGCAAAAGCUCAAAUUUGAAAUCUGGCACCUUCGGUGUCCGAGUUGUAAUUUGAAGAUUGUAACCUUGGGGUUGGCUCUUGUCUAUGUUUCUUGGAACAGGACGUCACAGAGGGUGAGAAUCCCGUGCGAUGAGAUGCCCAAUCCUAUGUAAGGUGCUUUCGAAGAGUCGAGUUGUUUGGGAAUGCAGCUCUAAGUGGGUGGUAAAUUCCAUCUAAAGCUAAAUAUUGGCGAGAGACCGAUAGCGAACAAGUACAGUGAUGGAAAGAUGAAAAGAACUUUGAAAAGAGAGUGAAAAAGUACGUGAAAUUGUUGAAAGGGAAGGGUUUGAGAUCAGACUCGAUAUUUUGCGAUCCUUACCUUCGUGGUGGGGUGACCCGCAGCUUAUCGGGCCAGCAUCGGUUUGGGCGGUAGGAUAAUGGCGUAGGAAUGUGACUUUACUACGGUGAAGUGUUAUAGCCUGCGUUGAUGCUGCCUGCCUAGACCGAGGACUGCGAUUUUAUCAAGGAUGCUGGCAUAAUGAUCCCAAACCGC